rnacentral:rRNA from 1 species
GACGAACGCUGGCGGCGUGCUUAACACAUGCAAGUCGAACGGAAGGGCCCUGCUUUUGUGGGGUGCUCGAGUGGCGAACGGGUGAGUAACACGUGAGUAACCUGCCCUUGACUUUGGGAUAACUUCAGGAAACUGGGGCUAAUACCGGAUAGGAGCUCCUGCUGCAUGGUGGGGGUUGGAAAGUUUCGGCGGUUGGGGAUGGACUCGCGGCUUAUCAGCUUGUUGGUGGGGUAGUGGCUUACCAAGGCUUUGACGGGUAGCCGGCCUGAGAGGGUGACCGGCCACAUUGGGACUGAGAUACGGCUCAGACUCCUACGGGAGGCAGCAGUGGGGAAUAUUGCACAAUGGGCGGAAGCCUGAUGCAGCAACGCCGCGUGCGGGAUGACGGCCUUCGGGUUGUAAACCGCUUUCGCCUGUGACGAAGCGUGAGUGACGGUAAUGGGUAAAGAAGCACCGGCUAACUACGUG